rnacentral:misc_RNA from 1 species
AAUAUAUUGCAAAAAGCAACAAACGACUAAACUAUGUUGCUAUGUUAUUACUUACUAGAACAAAUAUUUAUGGCAACAAGAAGGCAUUCAUUCAAUACAAAGAUACAAGCAUUGUUUCUAUUCUCUAACAUAUGACACUACAGAAAGAGAUUGAAAUCCAACUUCACAUUUAGGACAUGUAACAGCAAUGUUGACAAAAGUAACAUCAUCCCCAC